rnacentral:rRNA from 1 species
AGCUCCAAUAGCGUAUAUUAAAGUUGUUGCAGUUAAAAAGCUCGUAGUUGGACUUCUGGUUUAGAUUUGCGGUCCACCGCAAGGUGAGCACUGUAAGUUUGGACCAUCCUCUCGGAGGCGGUGAGUGCCAUUAACUUGGUGUUUAUCGAACCCGAGACCUUUACUUUGAAAAAAUUAGAGUGUUCAAAGCAGGCCUACGCUUGAAUACAUUAGCAUGGAAUAAUGGAAUAGGACUUUGGUUCUAUUUUGUUGGUUUCUAGGACCGAAGUAAUGAUUAAUAGGGACAGUUGGGGGCAUUCGUAUUUAAUUGUCAGAGGUGAAAUUCUUGGAUUUAUGAAAGACGAACUACUGCGAAAGCAUUUGCCAAGGAUGUUUUCA